UGGGGUGUAUAAAGUAGAUACUUACUCAGCACUGUCGGCGAAAAUAGAUUCCUUAUUCCAUAAGGUUGAAAGCAUUUCACAAACCGCCACUGCUAAGCAAGUUAUGAAGCAGAGUUGUGAAGAAUGUGGAGCAGAUCACAGUACUGCUACUUGCCCAAUUUUGGCACAAGGAGUAGAACAUGCAGAAUUCGCACAAUGGGGUCAGCGCCAGCAGAAUAACCCACAUUCAGAAACCUUCAAUCAAGGCUGGAGAAAACACCCAAAUUUCUCUUGGAGCAACCAGAAUCAAAA
rnacentral:lncRNA from 1 species